rnacentral:rRNA from 1 species
UACGGGGGGGGCAAGCGUUGUUCGGAAUUACUGGGCGUAAAGGGCGCGUAGGCGGCCAACUAAGUCAUACGUGAAAUCCCUCGGCUUAACCGGGGAACUGCGUCUGAUACUGGAUGGCUUGAGUUCGGGAGAGGGAUGCGGAAUUCCAGGUGUAGCGGUGAAAUGCGUAGAUAUCUGGAGGAACACCGGUGGCGAAGGCGGCAUCCUGGACCGGUAUUGACGCUGAGGCGCGAAAGCCAGGGGAGCAAACGGG